UCCUCUGUAGUUCAGUCGGUAGAACGGCGGACUGUUAAUCCGUCUGUCACUGGUUCGAGUCCAGUCAGAGGAGCCA
rnacentral:tRNA from 1 species